GGACGGGUGAGUAACGCGUGGGUAACCGUGCCUCAUACAGGGGGAUAACAGUUGGAAACGACUGCUAAUACCGCAUAAGCGCACAGGAUCGCAUGAUCCGGUGCGAAAAAACUCCGGUGGUAUGGGAUGGACCCGCGUCUGAUUAGCCAGUUGGCAGGGUAACGGCCUACCAAAGCGACGAUCAGUAGCCGACCUGAGAGGGUGACCGGCCACAUUGGGACUGAGACACGGCCCAA
rnacentral:rRNA from 1 species